CUUUUGGGAUGAGCACUGGGUGUUGUAUGGAAACCAAUUUGACAAUAAAUUUCAUAUAUUGAAAAAAAAUUAGUAGUUUUCCUCUUCCUCAAUAUAUACUUUUCCCCUCUUAUUUCAUAUUUUCUCCCUAGUCCCAAGACUGGCUUUUUAUGCUAUUACUCUUUAUAGUUUUCUACCAAUUCUGUAACGCUGAAGACCAUUUAUCAAAGAUGCUGUAGAAGAGGUUUGGGAUUAAGUAGAAGGUGGGCCCAGAGUUGACCUCUGUGGUCCUUCAACUCCAGGAUUGCAUGGUAAAUCAAGAAACAAACCAGAUGCAGGGAAAGAAGUUGAGAGAAACCAGUCAGGCUACUGUUGGUGAAGAGUCAGCUAAAGGCCAGUGAAAAGAAUUCCUCGCUAUCAAGUUCUCAUCAACAUGUCAGACAGAAUUAGGAUAUCCUCGACCUACAUUCCUGAGGAGGACAUAACAAUAAUUAUGGGAUAUGAAGUACAGCAUCCUAAAUUACAAACUAUUUUUCCAGGUCUUAUUUAUUUACAUUGAACUAAAAAUUAACUGUCAAGUAAGAACACUGAUACUUAAAAUAAGGUAAAUUGCUGCUCCAAAAAAAUGUAUUCUUUACCAUGUAACUGAAUAGAAUCCUAAAUUUUGUCGGUAAUAUUCAGAAAACUUGUAUAUUUAAUAGUAGUUCCUUUUACAAAGGUGCUUAGAAUAUAGUGGGUCUGUUUCAGAUAUCCUAAUUGGAAAUUUCUUUCUUUCUUUCUUUCAGAAAACAGCAAUUAAAAUUUGCUGCUUUCUGAAAGAUUUUUUUAAAAGGGGGUUCAGGGGCGCCUGGGUGUCUCAGUCGGUUGAGUGUCUGACUUCGGCUCAGGUCAUGGUCUCAUGGUCUGUGAGUUCAAGACCCGCUUCGGGCUCUGUGCUGACAGCUCAGAGCCUGGAGCCUGUUUCGGAUUCUCUGUCUCCCUCUCUCUCUGCCCCUCCCCUGCUCAUGCUCUGUCUCUCUCUGUCUCAAAAAUAAAUAAAACAUUAAAAAAAAUAAAAAAAAAGGGGGUUCAGAAAAAAAAUUUUGUCAGGAUUAAGUUUGGGGUAGGCUGAUUCUAGCAGGCUUUGUGGCACAGGUGCCCUGAGGAAUUCAUUGUGAGACUCUAGUAUAUGCCACAUGUCAGAAAUUCAGCUCUGUCAGCUGACAACUAAAUUUGAUACCGUUAGUCUUAAGGACAUAGGAUGUCAUACAUAAGCCAGUCCAAUCUUUGAAGGAUUUUUUUCUCUUUAUUGCUGUACAGAAUUGGAGCAUUGCCCAUUUUAUAGGCUUUUUUUUUUAAAGCAACAUCUUUAAAAAUUCAUGUAAAUUCUAAAAACUAUUUGGUAACUUAAAAUUUGUUUUUAGGUAUUUCAUGCUAAGUAGAAAACUUUACCAAAUAUAAUGGAACCAAAUUAUAAUAAAGAUACAGCUAAGAAAAUCUACAAAUAUAAUUGUUUAUUGAGUAUAAACAAUUUUUUUCUUGAUGUUGAACCCCCACAGUAUUUUCCUAUCCAACUGGAUAAAUAAAAGCUACAGUGGAAUUUAUUUAGCUUUGUUUUUUGGAAAUAAAAACCUAUCUUGAACUGUU